GGGACCCGCGGAGUGCCUUCAAGCAGGGGCCCGGCGGGAACAUACCGCCGCCGCGGCGGGAGCUGGGUUCGCGUGGCUGGAGGCGGGUCCUCCCCUUCCCACAGUUCCCGCAAGUCCUCGGCUCCCGGGAACCUCUGCCUUCAGGGCGCUCAGUUCUUGGAAGUCAAGGCGGGCUCCAGCCAGAGCUGGUAGAAGUGGUGGCAGCCCCCGCCCAUCAUCUCCCCAAAGCAGCGUUCGGAGCCACCAGGGCCGAAACGCCGUUGGAACGCGAGCGGGAGCCUGAGACGUCCAGACCAGCGGAGCCCAAGCGGCUUCCGGCUCAAGGGGGUGAGUGAUCUCGAGGAGGAAACCGGGCGUUCGCAUCCUCGCGCCUCCGAGAGAUGUGCAGUUUCCAAAACAAUUUACCUCUGCUGGAACAAGGAAAUAAACCAAGAAAAAGGAAGAUAUGGGAUCCAGGAAGCAGAAGAUUCAAUACAGAACAGAGAUGGAGGGAAUUCCAGGUCCACAUCUGUGCAGCAGACAUGGAAAGCUGUCAGUACAGACUGGAACUGGAGGAUGGAGGGAUCUGGGAGAGAUGUCUCCAGGAAGGCAAAAGCAUGCAACUAAAAGGAGUGAUGAAUUUCAUAAUAAGUUUGACUCACAAAAAAAAGUGUACCACCGUGCUAUCAGAAGGUAUGGGAAGAUUUAGCAGUAAGUAUAAAGGAAGCUGAGCAAAUAAAAAAUCCCAAGGCAUUAUUAAUUCCAGGAAAAAUAAAAAGUUGCAUCCCCAAAGAAAGGAGUUGUGAUCAUGGUCCACUAGUAACUUACCAAAGAAUAAUAUUUAUACAGUAGUAAUAAUGUAAGUACUAAGAACUGAAUUAACCAAAAAUUGGUGAUAUAGGUAGAAAUGGGAAGAGAGAGACAUUUUAGAGGUAAAUAUUCUCUAUCAUAAUAGAAAGUUAAAUCAUUACUGUUUCAAGAGAGAGGAGUAUAAGCAUGGAGAUAUGGAAGUAUAUUCCAUAAGAAACAAAUACGAAUUGAAAGUAGAUAUAUAGGGGAAGAUGCAGGUUUCCUAUGAGUGGGGGGAAAUGCAGGUUUCCUAAGAGUGGGGUAAGACACCACUGUAAGCCUUUGAUUAUUAUUUGACUUGUUAGAUUAUGGGCUUCUUUAAAUUUAAUAAAAAUUAAAGUUAAGCAUUUAAAAUGUGUCUUUAGAAUAAAAUGACUUAAAUGUUUCUAUAAGAAUGAAGAGGCAAGGAUCUAUUAAACAAUUCUGAAGUUUUCAUUUAGAGUAUUUUUUCACCCAAAAGGAGAAAGAAUGUUGAAAUCUCACUAAUAGACAAAAAAUGGUGACUUUAAAGAAAGAGUUUGGUUAAGUUUUGUUUUUUGUUUUUUUCACAUGUGCCAAAUGACAUAUAGCUUUCCAACUAUGAACUCUCUGAGAACAUAAAGAGUCUCUUAUUUGUAUUUCUAUUGGCUUCACAAAUGGACACAGAGCCUGGCAUACAGUCAGCCCUUGAUGUUGGUGAAUAAAGAAAAAUUCAGGAGGCAUUUUAAAAUAAAAAAGUUUCUGACUUUCCA